GACGAACGCUGGCGGCGUGCUUAGCACAUGCAAGUCGAACGGAAAGGCCCUGCUUUUGUGGGGUGCUCGAGUGGCGAACGGGUGAGUAACACGUGAGUAACCUGCCCUUGACUUUGGGAUAACUUCAGGAAACUGGGGCUAAUACCGGAUAGGAGCUCCUGCUGCAUGGUGGGGGUUGGAAAGUUUCGGCGGUUGGGGAUGGACUCGCGGCUCAUCAGCUUGUUGGUGGGGUAGUGGCUUACCAAGGCUUUGACGGGUAGCCGGCCUGAGAGGGUGGCCGGCCACAUUGGGACUGAGAUACGGCCCAGACUCCUACGGGAGGCAGCAGUGGGGAAUAUUGCACAAUGGGCGGAAGCCUGAUGCAGCAACGCCGCGUGCGGGAUGACGGCCUUCGGGUUGUAAACCGCUUUCGCCUGUGACGAAGCGUGAGUGACGGUAAUGGGUAAAGAAGCACCGGCUAACUACGUG
rnacentral:rRNA from 1 species